AUUUACUUCUCUUUAACAUGUACGAUCUCAACAUUUUUUAUGUACAUAACUGUUUUACGCAUAAAUAUUUUUAGGUUCUGAACCAUGUGAACCUAAUGAAGAUAUACUUGACGGUGUUUGCAAACUGGUGACUGAAUGUGAUUAUGCGUUAGAAAUAAUACAGAAAGCUCGCAAUCAUCCAUUUAGAAGAUGCGGUUUCAGUGGCGAAGUGGAGAUAGUAUGCUGUCCAUUAAGUAUUAGCGACAUGUUUCAGAAACCAAGAACUGAAUCUUCUAGACAUUUAAAACCCACACCUUCACCUGUAGAUUUUUAUUACGGUGGAGAAACAUUAAUACAAAGAAUAGCCGAGAAAGA